GCCCCUGUAGCUCAGAGGAUAGAGCGUUGGCCUCCGAAGCCAAAAGCCCUGGUUCGAGUCCAGGCAGGGGCA
rnacentral:tRNA from 1 species